rnacentral:rRNA from 1 species
GGGAUAGCCCGCCGAAAGGCGGGGUAAUACCGCGUACGAUCAACAUUUGGCAUCACGUGUUGAUGAAACACCCGUAAGGGUGGCUGAGAGAGGAGUCUGCGGCCUAUCAGCUAGUUGGUGAGGUAAUAGCUCACCAAGGCAACGACGGGUAGCCGACCUGAAAGGGUGUACGGCCACACUGACACUGAGACACGGGUCAGACUCCUACGGGAGGCAGCAGUGAGGAAUUUUGGACAAUGGGGGAAACCCUGAUCCAGCGACGCCGCGUGAAGGAUGAAGGUCUUCGGAUUGUAAACUUCUUUUGUCUGGGACUAAGAAAUCCGCUGAAAGGCGGGGAGUGAAUGUACCAGAUGAAUAAGCCACGGCUAACUUCGUGCCAGCAGCCGCGGUAAUACGAAGGUGGCAAGCGUUACUCGGAAUUACUAGGCGUAAAGGGCAGGUAGGUGGUUUGACAAGUCUGUUGUGAAAGCUCUUGGCUUAACUGAGAGAGGUCAACAGAAACUGUCAGGCUUGAGUAUGGGAGAGGGCACUGGAAUUCCCGGUGUAGCGGUGAAAUGCGCAGAGAUCGGGAGGAACACCAACGGCGAAAGCAAGUGCCUGGACCAUUACUGACACUCAGCUGCGAAAGCUAGGGGAGCAAACAGGAUUAGAUACCCUGGUAGUCCUAGCUGUAACGAUGCACAUUAGGCGUGGGGGGUAUCGACCCCCUCCGUGCCGACGCUAACGCAUUAAAUGUGCCGCCUGGGGAGUACGGCCGCAAGGUUGAAACUCAAAGGAAUUGACGGGGGCCCGCACAAGCGGUGGAGCACGUGGUUUAAUUCGACGCAACGCGAAGAACCUUACCUGGGCUUGAACUGCUGGAAGUAGAACGGAUGAAGUCUGAACGACCUGUAAAGUCAGGAGCCAGUAGAGGUGCUGCAUGGCUGUCGUCAGCUCGUGUCGUGAGAUGUUGGGUUAAGUCCCGCAACGAGCGCAACCCUUACCUCAUGUUGCUAUGCCCGUCAAGGGCAGCACUCUUGGGGAACUGCCUCGGAUAACGGGGAGGAAGGUGGGGAUGACGUCAAGUCACCAUGGCCCUUAUGUCCAGGGCUACACACGUGCUACAAUGGCCGGUACAGCGAGCAGCAAAUCCGCAAGGAGG